rnacentral:rRNA from 1 species
AUUGAACGCUGGCGGCAGGCCUAACACAUGCAAGUCGGACGGUAGCACAGAGGAGCUUGCUCCUCGGGUGACGAGUGGCGGACGGGUGAGUAAUGUCUGGGGAUCUGCCCGAUAGAGGGGGAUAACCACUGGAAACGGUGGCUAAUACCGCAUAACGUCGCGAGACCAAGGAGGGGGACCUUCGGGCCUCUCACUAUCGGAUGAACCCAGAUGGGAUUAGCUAGUAGGCGGGGUAACGGCCCACCUAGGCGACGAUCCCUAGCUGGUCUGAGAGGAUGCCCAGCCACACUGGAACUGAGACACGGUCCAGACUCGUACGGGAGGCAGCAGUGGGGAAUAUUGCACAAUGGGCGAAAGCCUGAUGCAGCCAUGCCGCGUGUAUGAAGAAGGCCUUCGGGUUGUAAAGUACUUUCAGCGGGGAGGAAGGCGAUAAGGUUAAUAACCUUGUCGACUGACGUUACCCGCAGAAGAAGCACCGGCUAACUCCGUGCCAGCCGCCGCAGUAA